AUGUUUAUCACUUCCUGGUUCAUUCGGUCAACAUAUGUCAAUUUAAUAAACAUGUCAGCACUCACAUUUUUACCCAGGCCUCUGAGGCUGUGGACUAUUUAUCCCCAGUGUCCAGUUCAGGAAGCUGAGGCAGAGAAAGCUUAAAUUACUUGCCCAGGUCACAUAACUAGUAAGUGGA
rnacentral:lncRNA from 1 species